rnacentral:lncRNA from 1 species
CGCCCUUCAUCAAGGACCCGUCCGCAUCGCAGCCAUUUUCUUCUCCGUCUCAGCAUCCAGCGUCCGUCUGCAGCUCCUCCGCCUCUGCUUCCGCUCGUGACGCAUCCGAAUCCAAUCCCAGCUUCCUGCGAUCCAGCCUCCACCGCGUCCGUGAUCAAUUCCCUCCGCGAUCCGCCCAACGAGCCCGCGAUCCACUUCUUUUGCCCGUUCCAGCCGCUCGUGAAGCCAGCCAAUCUUCCAUUCCCAGCACCCAGCAGCCAAGAUUCACAGCCGGUGCUCCCAUCCACACUUCACCAAAUAAUGAAGGGAGAUCCUCCGAAGCUCUUCACCCGGAUCCACGCCUUCCUCCCGCUUCCAAUCCGGCGUUCAUGAAGCUUCCGCCCGUGAUCCAGCUCCUUCCGUCCGACUACAAGCGUGAUCCCAGCUCUCUUCCGAUUCAAAAUUCCCAGCAAUCCCGUCCGCACUCAUCUUCCGCAUCCGCAAUCAGCUCGUGAUCCAUCCAUUCUCCUACGGAUUCAUGUCCUUCCACGAUCUGCCCUCUCGUAUCAUGCCCCGGAAUCUCAGCUGCCCGUGAUCCAUUCUGCCAUUCCGGAUGAAGCAUCCCGGAUGAUCCUCUCCACGCAAUCAAUCCAUCAUUGGCCACGAAGGGGAUAGGCGAUCUAUAAAAGGAGGCUCUCGGUUGGGAGAAGGGAGGGGGAGGAGGCCAUCGGCUGGGAGAAGAAAGCUCGAUUUUGGGGAAGAGAAGAAAGCUCGGUUUGGGAGAGAAGAAAGAAAGAAAAAAGAAAAAAAACAGAGUAUGCUCUGUUUUAAAGAAAAGAGGAAUAAAAAAUUAGAGGGAGGGGCGAGGCAGUGUUGUUUUUAGUUUUAGUUUUAUUAAAAUAAUUAAUUGAGAGUUUUAUUUUGGUGGAGAGUUUUACUUUUAAGAUUUUUUUUAUGCUGCAAUUUUAAUUUCUACUCUUUUAUUCUGUUCUGCAGAUUCUGUAAUUUUUC